ACAAAGAUAAAGAAAACAGCAAUGUCUCCAUGGUUUGGUCCAGAUUGGGCCAUUAUUUUAUGAUUUUCUGUUUGCCAUGGUUAUUUAUGAGUGAUGAUGAAGUUCUGGUAGGUUCCAAUUCAGAAUACAGUGUGUAUUCGACAUGGCCCCAGCACCUACCUCUAUAGAACACCAGCACUUAAACAGAGAGGGGACAAGACCUUGAGGCCUGAGGAAGAAGGGACAUUGUGGUUGGAACGAAACCAUUCUGUUGCUUGGAAAGACUGGACACUUGGAAAGAGUCUAGGGCAUGGAGGGAAUAUGAAGAGUAAUCCUUCUGUCCAGUCUGUGCGUAUACAGUAGGGAAACCUCUCCUCUGAGGACUACCAUUCUUCUCCUAGUUCACAGCCCCCAGUGCUCCGGGGGCGGUGAGUGUCUGAGAGAAGUCGGUGCAGAGCCUUCGCUGCUCUUCCCAGUUGCCAGAGGAAGCAUCACUAGGGAGGGAGGGAGGGAUAACUGUCAUAAGGAUUUUUCUCCCCUGCCAUACAAUGCUGAAGCUUCUCUUCCUCUCUCUCUCUUUUUUUUUUUUUGAAGAAGUGCGUUUAUGACUGAUCGCUCAACACCUUGUUGGUUCUGAUUGCAGAAAACACACCUUAUAAAUAUAUGAUAACCAUCCUGUAAUAGAGAGUGUGACAAUUUACUUCACAGUGCGUUUCGGGCUGCUAAUUGAUCGUUUCAGUUCAGGGACGAUUUGGAAUAAAUUAUAGCCAUCAAAAGGAUAUCACAGCUCAUUUUGGUGGAAGGGUUUCCACGUCGCUUCGCGUUCAUCUCCGGAAGAGGGCCGAUUACACCCGGCGGGCUGGGAGGCGGGGAAGGAGAGGGACCCGCGUGGAGGCGGCCGGUGGGUGGAGCUUGAGCAGUGAGAGGCCGGUCCUGGGGCGGAGCCAACGUGGGGGCGUAGUCGUCGUGAGGGCGGGGCCUGGUGGCGGCGGCGCACGCGCUGCAGCUCCGCGGCCGGACAGUAGAGGCCUCCCUUCCGCGGAGGCGGCGCAGGCUGCUCGGCUACCCGGAGAGGUCGGCGCGAAGCCGACCCGGCGCGAGGUUCCCCGGCCGCUGUCUCCCGCUGCAGGCGGCGGCUCCGGGCCUCGGAGGCUUCUAAUGUGAGGAAAAACACAGAAUGACAAGUGUGGGAAAGAGCAAGCACUAAAUUACUGUCAGAAAAAUAAACGGAGCAGCACAGUGGUGCUCAGUGAUUUACGGGGGCAAUUAGUCACCACCCCACGGCGCUGCUGAGGACGCCUGGCAGCAGACACAUCGGGCCCAGAGGAGGAAGAGGCUCUGCACUAAGCUCCAGAUGACUUUUCGAACAAGAGCGAGACCAUGAGCACAUGAGGUUCUGUGUGUUCAUUCUGGGUGUCUACCUUCACACUCCUCACCAGCUUGAUAAAUAAAGAGACUUCUAGUGCA